rnacentral:rRNA from 1 species
GAUGAACGCUGGCGGCGUGCCUAAUACAUGCAAGUCGAGCGAACUUUUCGGAUCUUGCUCCCCAAAGUUAGCUGCGGACUGGUGAGUAACACUUGGGUAACCUGCCUGUAAGACUGGGAUAACUUCAUGAAACCGGAGCUAAUACCGGAUAACAUUGAAGACCACAUGGUCUUCAAUUAAAAGAUUGCUUUGAGUUAUCACUUAGAGAGGGACCCGCGGCGCAUUAGCUAGUUGGUAGGGUAAAAGAUCACCAAGGCGACGAGGCAAAGCUGGCCUGAGAGGAUGACCCGCAACACUAGGGCAGGGACACGGAGGAGACUCCUACGAGAGGAAGAAGGGCGGAAGAUUGGACGAUGGGCGAGAGAAUGAGCCAGUAAGGUCGCGAGAGUGAGGAAGGAGGGAGGGUUGAAAAGCGUUCGAACACGGGAGGAUAAUGACAGUACCGGGAGAGAAAGCUACGGCUAACUACGUG